CGGACGGGUGAGUAUCGCGUAGGGAUUUGUCGUUGGGUGGGGGAUAACCUUGGGAAACUGGGGCUAAUACCGCAUGACGCCUUUGGGCCAAAGCAGCAAUGCGCCUGACGAGGAGCCUGCGUCCGAUUAGCUAGUUGGUUGGGUAAUGGCUGACCAAGGCUUCGAUCGGUAGCUGGUCUGAGAGGAUGAUCAGCCACACUGGGACUGAGACACGGCCCAG
rnacentral:rRNA from 1 species